GGGACCGAGAAACAAUACCCACCUCAGACUACGUGUAUGGAGUGGACCACCAUUGGCCUGAUGUUAUUUUUGACUAUCAUAUGCAUAGCAGCGGCGGCUGUCUUAAUAGUGUCCACGACUGCGGACGACUACUCGACUACAUCAACAGAUGAAGGCAAUGAGACGACCGGGAUUGAGCUCAAAAUACCCACGAUGGCCCGGGACGUGUUCACGACGCCACCUUAGGCAGUCCACUCCAAGUUAGGCGGCACAGUGUGCCUUUGCGCAGCAACACCCACGAGCAUCGACACACUGCUUUAUUUCUUUCCUUUUUUUCUUUCUUCUUAAGUUCUGAUUUCACUUGAAAUGUUGCACCAUGUCCUUGUAUUUUCUUUGCCGUGCAGCAGGUCUUGGUUUCUUGUAACCUAUAGUUGCAAGGCCCACGAGAGUCAAGACAUUUCCGAGCUGGUUUCGCUCGCUUUAUUUCCUGCUCGCGCUGAUACGAGUGGGACGAAUUUGGCGUCCUAUCUAUGGAGCCCAGUUAUUCGCUGCAUAACUCGCUAACCACGCUUUGUUAAAGUGUGUUAUGGCAUUAUAUGUAAAGCAUACUGCGAGUGGCGAGGGUUCUGCCGCGAAUUCGGCACGUAUAUUUGCAGUCUAACCGGAAUGAGGCAGUGGUGCACCUGUGACGUGCAAAGCUUGAUGAACGCAAUAAACUGACCAAAUGUGUCUGACGUUUCGCACAAACAUUCAAUGGCCCCGUUGCUUUUAGAACUAAGCUUUUUUUGCCUGUAUACCCUCCC